UGCGAGUGUCUCUUUAAGAGAUUAAGUCACCCACCUGUAUAAAUUGGCCCAGAAGCAGCCUUAAGGCAGGUGUGCAAGGAGCGUAAUGUUGAACUGGGAAUUGUGGCAGCAAAUACAAGGGGGCUUGUCACGUUUUUCUUUACUGUUUUAACAAUGUAUUGUUGGGUUGCCUUGCUUUGUGGUGUUGCAUUGUUUUUAAACAUGUCACUAGUGUUUUUUUAGUUUGUGGGGGUUUAUACAUGUUCUGACGCUCACUUAUAGUCAUAUAGUCCUUGACGAGUUGUAUUGGAUCUAAUUACUUGUUUGUAAUUUGACUCUAAGGCAUGAGCAUUUGUUUUAAAUGCCGGAUUUGUGCUACAGAAAUUUGGUUUAGUCAGUAGCCUUGUUUAAGAAUACAGGUGCAUUUUUAAUUUUUGUGCAAGUCAGGAUUGGUAGAGAAAGUAAAAACGUGACAAGCUCUAUAGUGUCGUCAAGCGCUUGAAGAUUUCAGGUAGCGCCUUGGACAGCAGACGCGGUGUUUUAGUAUUGGCGGACCUGAAGCAACAACUCCAGGUGUUGAUGGCAAGACUGGCAAAGGAGAAAAUUGAAAAGGAUGCUUUGCUGCAAGAAAUGACUGUUGGUUUUGACUCGGGUUGGUUCCAUAUGGUACCUGAUAAAGCGGAGAAAUGUAGGAAUUUUUUGGACACUCUGGUCCCAGUGCUAUAGCGCUGUGUGAAUGGAAAGAUGAAAUUUAAAUAUGAACUUUCAUCGGAAGACCCCGUUAAAACAAGCUGAUUUUGUUUACGAACAGUUGGAAGGACUGGCACGGGACACAACAUCGCUCUAUUGCUGAGCGUAAUGACGCACGGAAAAGCUUUGAAAAAUUGCAAAAUGUUUUAAGAUCCCAUUCCUUUGUAAAGCUUCAGAAGUGUUUUGAUCGUAUGGAGAGGAAAUAAUUAAAUGUGUAAUGUCA